UGUAGCACUGCUUGGGGUUGUUUUGUCCAAAGUGCAGGACCUUGCACUAGGCCUUGUUAAAUCUCACCCCAUUUCAGCACCACUUUCCCUUUUCCACCACAUCUGCCUCUUUCCCACCCCACACUGCAUUUUCCCCCAAACCAGGAGCACCUGGGUGCUGUUGGAGUCUCCUCCCACCCCAGGUGUGACCACUUUGCCCUCCCUGCCUGCUCCCCUAUUUAAUCAGCCUCAGGAAAGGCACCAGUCCUAAACUUGCCCAUCUGGGCAGAGGGAUCCUCCUCCCAUCAUCACUGGCAUCAACCCGUGCAAUGCUGUGGGAAGCACUGAGUGAGCCUGGAUGGAGGAAAGGUCUGAGAAUCCCUGCUCUUCAAGCAAGUUCCUUCACACCCAGCUCCACUGCAGCUCUGCGGGAAGAUGGGUUUGUAGACCUGGCUUCACAGAUCUCCUCCUGGGGUCAGAGGACCAGAGGGUAAGUUCUGCUCGCAUCCAAGCUGUGGUUUGGCCGCCCAGCUGCGGUUUGGCUGUGCAGCCACCCUGCUGUCCUCCUAAGGCAUCUCCACCACCAUCUCAGCUACAAGAUCACCUUGUGAGGAGGAGGAUUUCACAGGUUGGCUGCAGUUCCCCAUCAAAGCUCUGCUGAUGUGUUUAAGGCAAAUAAAAUGAAUAACAGAGGAAAGUCAAAA